CCCUUAGAUGUUCUGGGCCGCACGCGCGCUACACUGAUGCAUUCAACAAGCCUAGCCUUGACCGAGAGGUCCGGGUAAUCUUUGAAACUGUAUCGUGAUGGGGCUAGAUUAUUGCAAUUAUUAAUCUUCAACGAGGAAUGCCUAGUAAGCGUGAUUCAUCAAAUCGCGUUGAUUACGUCCCUGCCCUUUGUACACACCGCCCGUCGCUCCUACCGAUUGAAUGUGUUGGUGAGGAGCUCGGAUUGGCAGCAGUUGGUGGUUCGCCACCGGCUAUUGCUGAGAAGUCCUCCAAACCGCCCCAUUUAGAGGAAGGAGAAGUCGUANCA
rnacentral:rRNA from 1 species